rnacentral:rRNA from 1 species
AACGUAGGUGGCGAGCGUUAUCCGGAUUCAUUGGGCGUAAAGAGCUUGUAGGUGGCGGCGUAAGUUGGUCGUGAAAUCGCCCGGCUCAACCGGGCGGGGUCGUUCAAUACUGCGCGGCUGGAGGAGGUCAGAGGGAAGUGGAAUUCCUGGUGUAGCAGUGAAAUGCGUAGAUAUCAAGAGGAACACCUGAGGUGAAGACGGGUUGCUGGGCUGACACUGACGCUGAGGCGCGAAAGCCAGGGGAGCAAACGGG